GGGAGAGUUCUACUCUCUUGUAGGCAGCCUGGGGCCCACAAGAAGAGGAUGCCUAUGUCCAUGCCUGCUGCCAACUUGCUGUGUGACUUUGGGUGAGGAAGCUGAAGCCCAGAGAGGGAGCAGCAACGUGGGAGCUAGAAGACCUGACCUCUGACCUCUUGGCCAGGAAGUCUGCUUCUCUUUAAAUAUGUAUACAGUGGGAGCAGCUUCAGACCUCCCUCUAGACACCCUCAUCUCCUGGGGCAGAGGGACUGUCUUUGAGGAACACCUGAAACUGCUCCCAGCCUCAUUAUGAAGGGAGCUAGCUGACAACCACCCCAGAGGCGAACUCACAGGAAAUGGUGCCAGGUUGCCCUGGU